GCCCAGCCCAAAAACAAAAGUCUUGGUCCUGAACCUCACAUUCCCUCUUCCCGAAGUUAUACAUGCAAGCCUCAACGAAACAGUGAGUUGCCCACACAAUCCACUAAAGGAAAAAGUGGAGCUGGCAUCAGAACAUGGACACCCAAUCAAUAACGCCACGUAACACCACACCUACACAGGUAGCUCAGCAGUAACCAAAAUUAGGCAAUAAACGAAAGCUCGACCUAGUCACGGGGAAAAAAGCCGGUAAAACUCGUGCCAGCUACCGCGGUUAUACGAGGGGCUUUAGAGAACGUUAAAACGGCGUAAAGACGGCCAGAGAAAAUCAAAAACUUAAGGACAAAAACUAAACUGGCUGUCUAACGCCAAGCCAAAAGAAUCCCAACGCCUUAACAUAAAGAUAACUUCAGCCACAAAAGCUAGGGAACAAACUAGGAUUAGAUACCCUACUAUGCCUAGCCCUACAAGGCAAACCACCGCCCGCCCGACUAAUACAAGCAAAAGCUCAAAACUCAAAGGACUUGACGGUGACCCAUAUCAACCUAGAGGAGCCUGUCCCAUAAUCGAUAACCCACGCUACACCCAACCACCUCUCGCCAAUCAGUCUAUAUACCGCCGCCGUCAGCUCACCCUGUAAAGGAACAAAAGUGAGCAAAACCGUAAUACACAAAAACGCCAGGUCAAAGCGUAGCAAAUGAGGUGGAAUAAGAUGGGCUACAUUCUCCACACGGAGCCUACGAAAGAAUAUAAUGAAAAAAUACCCGAAGCCGGAUUUAGCAGUAAGAUAAGCAAGCAUGCCUACCUGAACAAUAGCACUGGGACGCGUACACACCGCCCGUCACCCCCAUCCCAUACCACCAAAAAAAUAAAUAAAAGACCUAUCAACAAAAGAUGGGGUAAGUCGUAACAUGGUAAGCGUACUGGAAAGUGCGCUUGACAC
rnacentral:ncRNA from 1 species